rnacentral:rRNA from 1 species
GAUGAACGCUGGCGGCGUGCUUAACACAUGCAAGUCGAACGGGAAAUAUUUCAUUGAGACUUCGGUGGAUUUGAUCUAUUUCUAGUGGCGGACGGGUGAGUAACGCGUGGGUAACCUGCCUUAUACAGGGGGAUAACAGUCAGAAAUGGCUGCUAAUACCGCAUAAGCGCACAGAGCUGCAUGGCUCAGUGUGAAAAACUCCGGUGGUAUAAGAUGGACCCGCGUUGGAUUAGCUGGUUGGUGGGGUAACGGCCCACCAAGGCGACGAUCCAUAGCCGGCCUGAGAGGGUGAACGGCCACAUUGGGACUGAGACACGGCCCAGACUCCUACGGGAGGCAGCAGUGGGGAAUAUUGCACAAUGGGGGAAACCCUGAUGCAGCGACGCCGCGUGAAGGAAGAAGUAUCUCGGUAUGUAAACUUCUAUCAGCAGGGAAGAUAG